AGAUGACCGAUGACAAGCUGUGA
rnacentral:piRNA from 1 species